UCUUGGAGAUUCUUUUACAUUAUGAAUUCUAGAACAGUGGUAAGUGGUAGCUUCUACAAACAGAAAUUUACUGCCAAUGAAAUUAAAUGUGUGGCUACAACAUCAAACAACCAGAAUUUAAGAAUUAUUACAGAACAGAAUAAAGUGAGGGUCUGAAGAAUUAUCCAUAAAGCAUGAUCCUUUCAGAACGCUGGGCUUUAACUGAACACAUAGCUACCCAACUAAAGCAUCUUUUGCAGCUAGAAAUGGCCAUGUGAUCAAGUUUGGAGGAACUAGAGGGGUUGGCAAGUGAUGAGUGUGACUUUGGACCACCUCCUUGAAGAUGCAGCUGCUUCCCAGGACUUCUUUCCCACUUCCCACAGGCUGGAGAGUGGGCACCCAGGCUUUAGUCACAACCACCAAGAUGACCCUGUGGGGAGGUGACAGGGAGAGAAGAUGGACCUCUUGGAGAGGAGCAGCCACUUCUCCAGCUAUGGACUGCUGACAUAAGUACUAUUUAG
rnacentral:lncRNA from 1 species